UCUCAGUGUUGAGGGGUGGUCGUUCAUUCCGGACGAGCCCCCAAAUGAAAGACCCUCAGAAUGAGGAGACUCUCGCUCCAAUCCUGAGGGCACCAACCACCCCACAAACACGCGAGACUCA
rnacentral:pre_miRNA from 14 species